rnacentral:rRNA from 1 species
CCUACGGGUGGUAGCAGUGGGGAAUAUUGGACAAUGGGCGAAAGCCUGAUCCAGCCAUGCCGCGUGUGUGAAGAAGGCCUUCGGGUUGUAAAGCACUUUCAGUGGGGAAGAAAGCCUUGGGGCUAAUACCCUCGAGGAAGGACAUCACCCACAGAAGAAGCACCGGCUAACUCCGUGCCAGCAGCCGCGGUAAUACGGAGGGUGCGAGCGUUAAUCGGAAUUACUGGGCGUAAAGCGCGCGUAGGCGGUCUGAUAAGCCGGUUGUGAAAGCCCCGGGCUCAACCUGGGAACGGCAUCCGGAACUGUCAGGCUAGAGUGCAGGAGAGGAAGGUAGAAUUCCCGGUGUAGCGGUGAAAUGCGUAGAGAUCGGGAGGAAUACCAGUGGCGAAGGCGGCCUUCUGGACUGACACUGACGCUGAGGUGCGAAAGCGUGGGUAGCAAACAGGAUUAGAUACCCGGGUAGUC